rnacentral:rRNA from 1 species
UACGUAGGGGGCAAGCGUUAUCCGGAUUUACUGGGUGUAAAGAGAGCGUAGACGGCGGUGCAAGCCAGAUGUGAAAGCCCGGGGCUCAACCCCGGGACUGCAUUUGGAACUGUGCUGCUAGAGUGUCGGAGAGGCAGGCGGAAUUCCUAGUGUAGCGGUGAAAUGCGUAGAUAUUAGGAGGAACACCAGUGGCGAAGGCGGCCUGCUGGACGAUGACUGACGUUGAGGCUCGAAAGCGUGGGGAGCAAACAGG